GAUGAACGCUAGCUACAGGCUUAACACAUGCAAGUCGAGGGACCGGCGCACGGGUGAGUAACACGUAUCCAACCUGCCCUUUACUCGGGGAUAGCCUUUCGAAAGAAAGUUUAAUACCCGAUAUAAAGGAUGGGGAUGCGUUCCAUUAGGUUGUUGGUGAGGGAACGGCUCACCAAGCCUUCGAUGGAUAGGGGUUCUGAGAGUAAGGUCCCCGACAUUGGAACUGAGACACGGGCCAAACGCCUACGGGAGGCAGGAGUGAGGAAUAUAGGGCAAUGGGCGCUAGCCUGAACCAGCCAAGUAGCGUGAAGGAUGAAGGCUUAUGAGUCGUAAACUUCUUUUAUAUAAGAAUAGGUAUUAGAUGAAUAAGGAUCGGCUAACUCCGUGCCAGCAGCCGCGGUAAUUC
rnacentral:rRNA from 1 species